CUCUUACUUUUUAAUUUGUUCACAGCCGGAGAAGGAAGUGCCCAACUCCCCAGUGGAGAUCCUGUUCCAGGCCAUGCUACCAAACCUCCCACAAUACAUGAUAGCUUUACUAAAGAUUUUACUGGCAGCCGCACCCACGUCAAAGAC